UGUCUCCACCCAGCAGGGGGCCGAUCCUCAGUCUCGUCCCCAGCCUCAGACACAGAGGCCGGGUCAGAAGAGGGGGGAGGAGGAGCCCCCAGGAAGACGUGGAUCUUUGACCGCUCACACAUGCUGAGAAGAUGAAGGAGAGAGCGACGCCCACAGACACGCCCAACCACAGUCACACUCACAGAGCUCCACCAAUCACAGGAGAGGAUGCUGGGGGAACAGUCAGGACACAAACGAGUAGCUGUUUUCAGUCUGGACCGACCGGCUCAACAGGAGGAGGAUUUAUGACCUAUACUGCUGCCAGACACCAGGGGGCGAUCGAGAUGAUUUGCAUUCACUUUUAGGAGCCAUCACGUCGUCCAUGUUUAUUUACAGUGUGUGUUGUGGACGACACAAACCUCUGAUGUGUCCACAGCUUCGGUCCUCGUCUCUGAACGUCUCGUGUUGCAGUCGCCUCCUCUCUGCUUCCUGCCACCUGCUGCCAUCAGCAGGACGUGGACGUCCCGCCUCCACACGUCUGUCAGUUCAACCUGCAGCACGAAGAUGCUGUUUGAUCCUGUGUUUUAUCACUGAUUAAACCUGGAGACUCUACAUUACUAACACUGUGUGAGGAACCAACUGCAGAGCAACAACACAUUUAACCUGCUCCAACCAGCGCCCCCUGGAGGGUGCAGAGGUCACUACAACCACAAUACAAAAAGAACGAUUUUCAGUGACUUAUCUGGUGUUUUAAAUACGAGACAGUGAUUUAAAAAGGUUACAGCUCACGAAAAGAACAUCAUUUUGAGUAAAAACUGUAAAUACUGGGAUAUAAAGGUGAUUGUAAGUCUUAUGUUACUUUAUAUAUUUAUCUUUAUUCGUCUUAUAUGUCUGGACCAAUGACUAAUCUGUGAUUAAUGAAUGAUGUGGUAAAAGGCAAAACAUUUUCUACUUUAUAAAACAGUUUGAUAAUUUCAUAUUUUCCCAAAGAGUUAAAGAGCAAACAGGUCUGAAUUUUGACAUGAAUGAGUCAUUUAAUUUAAAUUCUAAUUUUAUCUCUGCAAACAUUUCAUGUUCAUAAAGAAUUUUCAUUUUUGGGUGAACUAUCCCUUCAUUACAUCUUCAUUACACACACCAACACUAACUGAGUUUUCUGACUAAACCAUUUUAAAUGAAAUAGUUUGAUUGUUUGAUCAAAUCACUUUACUUUCAAAUUUAAAAAAAUAGAAUAAUGAUUUGAUAUUGAGUCUAAAGUCAAAUCUAAAAUCUAAGAUGUUCAGAACAGAAUUAGAUUAACUGAGUCAGUUAGAGGCUCCCGAGGUCAGGUGACCUGUCUUUCUGUGUUAUAGUUAUAAUAACUCAGCUGUGUCUUUUAAACACUUUCAAACACUAACAGUGAAUUUACUAAACUUACAGGUUCAAGUUCCCGUUCAGAGACAAGAUGAGAUGAUUCCACAAAGUGCCUGCAUGUUUUACAGUGUAAUUGCAGUUUGGAUGAAC